UAGAAUGUAGUGUAGAUUAGGUAGCACGAAGAUUUUUGAAUUCUUAAGGGUAGGUUCGAUUCCUAUAAUUCUAG
rnacentral:tRNA from 1 species